CAAGACUGGAAGAGCUUCUCUGUUUUCGGUUUCACUUUUGGGCUUGCGUACAGACGGCUACCACGUUGGCUGGCUAAGUUGCUCUAUAAGUUUAUCUCCUACCACUCAUCAAAGAAGAUUUUCUUUUCAAGUGACAGAGACUACCACAGUAAACCACAAUUGGUUAAAAUACAGUGAGCAAUUGAUUAUGUGGUGUCUGGCGCCAACAGAUACAUCUACAACAAAAUUCCAACACCUAACGUUCAGGAGACAUCAUGGAAAAGGGAGUGGAAAGAUUCUAAGAGUCAGAUAUUGUGUCUUCUAAAAAUGAUAGAUGGACCGGGAGCCGCAGCAGCUCUCUACACACUUUAGCUCUCUUUGGACUCCUGAAAGAAUAAAGCCAUUGUUCCAGGGUGUGCAGCCCAGAAUGAGCCUGGUCCACAGCAGCGGCAUGAAUGGGAGUCUGUGGUUCUUACACACCUGGGGACCAGGUGGGGAUGUAUCAAAACAACCAGGAGAGGAGAGUGUGUGAUGGACCAUUUGUCAUAUUAGCUAGACCUCUUUGAAAGUCACUCCCCCUCCUUCACCUCUUUGUGGGUAAUUUUCCAUUUCUAGCAAUGCUGGGGCCUAGCUAACCACAGGUUAACACCCACAUUGUAUCUUUUGUCUUCAGGGAAUUUAAAUCUGGGCCCAGUGUAUUUGUGAAAGACACAUUUCUCAAGAAGUUUGUGGGGCAGAAAUUCUCUCCUUUAAGACGUUCGGUGAUAGUCCCGAGGAUGUGUGCCUGAGACAGGCUGAUCUAGGAAAACCUGAAUGCUGCCUUGACUACAUGCCAACCCAAAGGAAAUGAGUUAAUGAAUUACUAGGCUAAAUGAUCUGAAGCUGGUAUAGGAUUCAGGGAAACUAGAAAAAGGCACUAAAUUCUUCUCACUAACAGAGACCAUGUUGGGGCUCUCUUGUAUGUCAUGUAAUUGUAUUUUGAUCUCAUUAAAUAUCCCCCAUGAUACCUUUGCUCAUCAUACUCAUAACAAAAUAUGUAACUGAGGAUCAACAGAGUAAGGGCACAGAUUGAAGUGACUGUCUAGAAAAGUUCAGAGGCAGAACCUGAGUUCAAAAGUUUGCAUGCCUCAAUUGAAUUGUUCAUGAAGAAUAACUGCCAGUGUUCUUUGAGCAGUCAUUUAAAUAAAGCCAGAAAGUGAUGACAAGACAUGGCUGUCUGAGACUACCAUUGUUUGCAAUGUGCCCUCAGUGUUUCUUAAGUUUGUUCAUGAAGAUAAGACUAAUGACUCUCUGUGUAUGUCUCAUUCAUUAGGGACUAGCAUGCAGUCAGUGAGCUAACAAGAAAAAUACUUUAUAAGUUCCAGCCACACCACUGCCACCAGUAAAUGAAUGACUUUGGAGACAUUAUUUAAAAUUGGUGUGUACCUUUUCUUAACUUCAAAAAAAUAGAUCCAAUAGUAGUACUUAUCUCACUAAGUCAUUAUAAUGAUGAAAUUAGAUAAUGCAUAUUCACUUAGAGUGACUUGCAACACAC
rnacentral:lncRNA from 1 species